rnacentral:rRNA from 1 species
GGUUAACGCUGGCGGCGUGCCUAACACAUGCAAGUCGAACGAGGCUAUCUCUCCCGUAAGGGAGUGAUUGUCCUAGUGGCGAACGGGUGAGUAGCACGUGGGCAAUCUGCCCCGAAGUGGGGGAUAACACCGGGAAACCGGUGCUAAUACCGCAUAUGGUCACCGGUCGCAUGGCUGGUGAAGAAAGGAGCAAUCCGCUUUGGGAUGAGCCCGCGGCCUAUCAGCUAGUAGGUGGGGUAACGGCCUACCUAGGCUAAGACGGGUAGCUGGUCUGAGA